CUGCAGCCAAUUAAGCCAACUGCCCUCCUUUCCCCAAGGGGGCCUGGUGUGCAGUGACUGCAGACAGCAGCCUCCUUGGUAGUGGAUACAGCCUGUUGCUUGUAUGGGUUGCUUGUAUGGGUCCCUUAGGGACCUUGGAGACAGCC
rnacentral:snoRNA from 1 species